rnacentral:rRNA from 1 species
AACGAACGCUGGCGGCAUGCCUAACACAUGCAAGUCGAACGAGACCUUCGGGUCUAGUGGCGCACGGGUGCGUAACGCGUGGGAACCUGCCCUUAGGUUCGGAAUAACUCCCCGAAAGGGGUGCUAAUACCGGAUAAUGUCUUCGGACCAAAGAUUUAUCGCCUUUGGAUGGGCCCGCGUUGGAUUAGCUAGUUGGUAGGGUAAAAGCCUACCAAGGCGACGAUCCAUAGCUGGUCUGAGAGGAUGAUCAGCCACACUGGGACUGAGACACGGCCCAGACUCCUACGGGAGGCAGCAGUGGGGAAUAUUGGACAAUGGGCGAAAGCCUGAUCCAGCAGUGCCGCGUGAGUGAUGAAGGCCUUAGGGUUGUAAAGCUCUUUUACCCGGGAUGAUAAUGACAGUACCGGGAGAAUAAGCACCGGCUAACUCCGUG